ACAGGUUUUGACAACUCAUUGUGAAACCUUCGGUUUGAUGAACGUAAGUCCCUGGGAGCUUUUAACUUCCAUAAAGUACUGAGAAAAUACAUAUUUAACUUUCAAAAUAUCUUAAAAAACCUUAACAAAAGCUUUACACCCGGACCGAAAAACAAUUUACAAAAUAGUUUUAGCCUCCGGUUUAAAGCCGAUAUUGACUUUACAGUGUAAACAGAUAUUGGGUUUCCAUUAUAGUAUUUCGCAAUAUUGCAUCAGCCGGUUACGACUAGUUUUAUCAAUACACAUAACAUUCUUUACUGUUUUAAGUAUUAUAACGAAAAAAGUGGAAUUUAAGCAACUGAAAUGUAUUCAAGAAUUCUACAAAGAUAUUAUUAGCCAGACGAAUUACAACGUGAAAAAUCCAAGACUUUAUAAAGACAACGAACGUUUAACACAAAAUAUAUCAUCGGAAGACUUCAAGAAAAGAAUGUUAACCAUAGCAUGGUUGAAUAUCAUAAUACUUUCAUGUUGUUAGAAUCACUCAACCAUAGGAUUAUACCAUAAUCGUACGCAUGGUUGAAUAUCAUAAUACUUUCAUGUUGUGAGAAUUACUCAACCAUAGGAUUAUACCAUAAUCAUACGCAUGGCUUAAUGUUAUGAUAUUUUGAUGUUGUUGAAAUCACUCAACCGUUUGAGUAUGCCAUAGGCAUAUGCAUGAUUGAAUAUACGCUUUUGGGAGUAGUAUGGAAUAUAACGUUUAUGGGUACAUUUUGAUAGUAGUAAAGAAUAUUGUGUUUUUGAUACAUUUUAACCCUUUUUAUUAAAAUAAUUUAUAAUUGUUUGUUCAUUAUGUUUUACAUUGUUUACUCUCAGUGUUUUAUACAAUAAAUCAUAAAUGUUUA